rnacentral:misc_RNA from 1 species
CGAGAGGCGCUCUUGGAAAGGCGAGAGCGGAGAGUGCGGCCGGGAGCCGAUACCAAGGUGUUGACGGGCUGGAACGCAUUAGCGGCGUCGGCACUGGCCGAAGCGGGAGCCGUAUUCCGUCGUCCGGAUUGGAUCGUCGCCGCAGCGGAGGUCAUGCGCUUCAUCUUCGGAACGAUGCGAGUCGACGGCAGGAUCAUGCGCGCCUACAAGACGAACGACGAUGGAAGCGCCGGACAGGUUCAGCA